rnacentral:rRNA from 1 species
GUGUCAGCAGCCGCGGUAAAACCAGCACCUCAAGUGGUCAGGAUGAUUAUUGGGCCUAAAGCAUCCGUAGCCGGCUAUGUUAGUUUUCGGUUAAAUCCAUGUGCUCAACACAUGGGCUGUCGAGAAUACUGCAUAGCUAGGGAGUGGGAGAGGUAGACGGUACUCGGUAGGAAGGGGUAAAAUCCUUUGAUCUAUCGAUGACCACCAGUGGCGAAGGCGGUCUACCAGAACACGUCCGACGGUGAGGGAUGAAAGCUGGGGGAGCAAACCGGAUUAGAUACCCGGGUAGUCCCAGCUGUAAACUAUGCAAACUCAGUGAUGCAUUGGCUUGUGGCCAGUGCAGUGCCGCAGAGAAGUCGUUAAGUUUGCCGCCUGGGAAGUACGUACGCAAGUAUGAAACUUAAAGGAAUUGGCGGGGGAGCACCACAAGGGGUGAAGCCUGCGGUUCAAUUGGAGUCAACGCCAGAAAUCUUACCCGGAGAGACAGCAGAAUGAAGGUCAAGCUGAAGACUUUACCAGACAAGCUGAGAAGUGGUGCAUGGCCGUCGCCAGCUCGUGCCGUGAGGUGUCCUGUUAAGUCAGGUAACGAGCGAGAUCCCUGCCUCUAGUUGCCACCAUUGCUCUCAGGAGUAGUGGGGCGAAUUAGCGGGACUGCCGCAGUUAAUGCGGAGGAAGGAGGGGGCCACGGCAGGUCAGUAUGCCCUGAAACUCUGGGGCCACACGCGGGCUGCAAUGGUAGUUACAGUGAGUUCCGAAUCCGAAAGGAGGAGGCAAUCUUCAAACGCUAUCACAGUUAUGAUUGAGGGCUGCAACUCGCCCUCAUGAAUAUGGAAUCCCUAGUAACUGCGUGUCAUUACCGCGCGGUGAAUACGUCCCUGCUCCUUGCACACACCGCCCGUC